rnacentral:misc_RNA from 1 species
GCAAACUUGGUCAUUUAGAGGAAGUAAAAGUCGUAACAAGGUUUCCGUAGGUGAACCUGCGGAAGGAUCAUUAUCGAAUUCAAGUAAAGGGUUGUGCUGGCCUUCACCGGCAAGUGCACGCCCGAUACACCCACACCUGUGCACCUAUCGACUGAAGCUCUGUAAUGGAGUGGAUGUCUUUACACACACGCUUAUUGAAACUUGUUUUUAUAAUAUCAUAUCGAAUGACAACUUUCAACAACGGAUCUCUUGGCUCUCGCAUCGAUGAAGAACGCAGC